UUCCUAAACACACAUAACCUUAACGAUAGGCAACCCAAUACACACCAAAAUUGAAUAUACAGUUUAGUAUAACCUAAGAGUGAUUCGACAUUAUUUGUGAAACUCGAGCAAAUAUUGUGUGCUGACAAUUAAAACUUAUUAAUUAAGUACAUAGAAGGAGAUGCAACUGGAGACGACAGCGUAGGUCGGCGUCAAGUCCAGGGCGCAAGUGGGAUAGUUCUGCCCGCCGGCGUGGUAAACGGUCGGUUGUGGCGGUCGAUGCAAGCCGAGCGAAAUCGGCACGAACGAAAUCAGCGCCGAUGCCAGCCAGAUCGUCGCAAUGGAGCCAACGGCGACGCGUCUCGUCACCCAUCUACCGUACCUGUUCAACAAUAGAAGCAAACUUUACAAUGAGAGCGGAUUACGCCUGCAGGACGAACACACGAAUGCUUGGAUUGUGUGUGAUUUUGAUUAGCUUCAAGCGAGGAAUUCAUAUACUAACGAAUUCAUCAUUUGUAAAUUGAAUUGUCGAAAGUAAUUAGAAGUUUGCCGGCUAAUUGGUGUCAAUUUCGCAAAACGCAGCACCGCACGCUGAAUUCGUGGGGAUUAAUGUGAAGCGCGUCAUUGUGCGCUCGCGCGGUUCGACGCUUCAACAAGUCCACACCGCAAAGUUAUCACGGCCAAGUUUAAUCCACAAUUGGAAUGAAAUUAUAUUCUGCAUUCGGCGCGUUCAUCAUAUUUGAGGUAAACACAUCCGAUGGGCGGUUAUUAUUCAUAGUCAAUUCGUUGUCAAGUGGCGAGUUGCGGAAUUUACACAUUCAUCAUUUUACAAUUUUGGAAUUAACAAGAAAGAUAUAUUUUCUGCCAAGUCAUCCAAAAAGAUUGGAAAUUUUAUUUUUAAAAAUAGGAAAUGCAAGUAUUGCAUAUCAGCGCCCUCUGGGGUUGAUUUAGGAUCCUUAAUGUGAAUAUAUCGAUCCAAUGAGAUCGCACACAAGUUGAGUAUUGAUGCUGUCGAGCACAUCACAUCGAAGGCGACCCACGUGUCGCAAAACUCAGCGCCGAAUAUCCAGUAUCCUAGCAGAUCGUUAACGCCGGCGAACGUCAUCACCAGCGACGCGACGAACAGGUCGGCGAUCGCCAGCGAGGCUAAGAAUAAAUUGCCGAUGCGGCGCAGGCCUCGGUCUGUGUAAAUGGCGACACAUACGAGGAUGUUACCGGCCACCGACAGGAAGAUUAACACGGAUAGAAAUAUUCCUGCAAAAUUGAAACAAAAUUGUUGUUGAGGGUAAUACAUUCUUUAUUUGGUCUGGCGUCCAGAGCACGUGAGUCGUAAAUUUUCAAUCGAGAUGUGAACAAACGUCGCCUGUGUACACGGCGCAGACUGGGUGUGUAUUCAAAAUGUAUGCCGGCAAUGGCGGCGGAAAUCGUGGAAUCGUGUAACAAGUGUGUUUGCUCUAUGAUCCGAGAUGAGAAGCGUUUUACGAUGUUGUAAAUCGCGAAAAUGUGUGUUUAUUUUCGGAAGGACGUGCUCGAGACACACGCGGCGAAGAUGGCGAAGAAUUGCUGCCCGAGAGUGGAGAGUGUAUCGGUUGGUUUUGUGGGAAAUCGGAUGUUUUGAAUAAAUCACUUCGAGCAGAGUACGAGUAAAACGCAUCGAGGAUUCCAUGCGAUAGUCGACAAGUUUCUACAGUUCAGUUUAGAAUAUGUUAAGAAAAGGAAAAAGAAAGAAAUCUAGAAUAAAACGAAGAGAAAUGUGAGUGGAAUGUGAAUAUUUGAAUAGAGCGUU